AAUAUAAUGAACUCUUAUUCUACACUCUUCAGACAUUACAAAAAUAUGCUUGAGAAUUUAACAAGAUGAAAAUAUUGAAUAGGAGCUAGAAUUUGUUUUGAAUGGUUUUUCCUAAAAUACUAACUCGUUUUUAUAGGAAAUGUGCGAGCCCGGGGGUUGAUACAUUCACUUAUUGGUGGGUCCAAAAUAAGGGGUAUAGCGCGAUGUAUUUGAAUACUAUAUAUAGCAUAAAAAUAUAGCACGUUAUACAUGUAUCAGUAAAUUUCAGUAUAUAUAACGCGAAAACCUUAACGACGAAAGUUACCGUUAAGGUAUAACUUUUUUUAAUACUUAUUUACAUAUCUCUUGUCCAAAAAGACAACAAAAAGGUUCCAGACUCUUAUCUCGUGAAUGUAGUCCUUUCUCUAGUGGGAACUUUUAUAUCAUAUAUGCAACUAUAUUACCAAAUAUACUCAUAGUUUGUUUAUUAUUCUUCAUGCUAAUAGUAUUCCUACAAAAUAUAGAUAAUGGAUUAACUAAGAAAUUAUUGUAGCUGUAGGAUUCCUUAUUUAGGCGUGCUAAAAUUGGAAAAUUAAAUAAUCUUCAAGAUCUUCCACAAUGCAGAUCACGCACAUUCCAUAAUUAUCGUCAGCUUCACUCUGAUCUUCCGCAAUGCAGAUCAAGAUUUUUCAUACUCUAUUUUUGUGAUACACUCUGUUUCCAGAAUUCUCUCUACAUCUCUCUCUCUCUCUAUCUCUCUAUCCCAAAUUUCAGUAAUGCAAAACAAAUAAAAAGAGAACAGCAAUUCCACUAUUGACAGCCAUUAAAAAGAUUGAAAGCUUUGAUUUAAUUUAAAUUUUCAAAAAUAAUUAUUUGUUUGGAUUGGAUGUUGUUGAAAAUAAUCGGAAAUAUGGUUUGGAGUUUAUAUCUCACGUUUGAGGAAUUUUUGUAAAGAUUAGACUUGGUUUUGACUGAAUUUCAGAUUGAAGAAGAAGAAGAAGAAGAAGAAGAAGAAGAAAAAGAAGAAGACAUGACAUACAUUAUAUUGCAUAAAUUGUAGAAAAAUUAUAGAUAAAUUGUAAAAAAAAAAAAUUAUAGACUAUUCUUCAUUUAUUUUUCUUUAAUUCAUUUACCUAUUGUAUGAAUGUUGAACAAUAUUAUAUAAAAAUAAUAUUUAUGUAUGAUUUAGUACUGUUUUGGACAAAAAUAUGUAUCAAAAAUGUGAAACAUACAUUUCAGGGGAAGUAUGUUGAGUCCAAAUAUGUACCCAGUUUGUAGAUAUUUUGUAGAUAAAUUAUAAAUUAUUUGUAUUCUAAUAUGUCGAGUCCAAAUAUGUACCCAGUUUGUAGAUAUCUUAUAGAUAAAUUAUAAAUUACUUAUAUUUUGAUUGUAGAUGCUUUAUGUUUUAUUUUUACAAAUAAAAAACGACUAAAACUUCGACAAAUCUUUUGAAAUGCAAUUAUGUCAAAAAUGUCAAUUAUGCUACAAUCGAAUGGAUGGGAUGUUAAAAUUUAUUGUACCCAAUUAGCAAAUAUUUUGUAGAUAAAUAGUAAAUUAUUUGUAUUCUGAUUGUAGAUGCUUUAUUUUCUGUUUUCACAAAUCAAAAACGACUAAAACUUCUACAAAUCUUCUGUAAAAAUGCAAUUAUGUCGAAAAUCUCAAUUAUGCUAUAAUUAAAUGGGAAUUGGGAUAUUAAAAUUCAAUGUACCAAAUUUGUAGAUAUUUUGUCGAUAAAUUGCAAGAAUAUUUGUAUUUUGAUUGUAGAUAUUUUGUUUUCUAUUUUCACAAAUCAAAAAAGACUAAAACUUCUUCAAAUCUUCUACAAAAAGUGUAAUUAUGUCGAAAAUUCCGAUUAUGCUACAAUACUGUGAUUCUCCUAUAUGUUAUUGUUACUCCUUAAGAAACUGCUAUGCAAAAUAUGUAAUCCAAAAGAACAUGAUGAAGGGAUAGAUCUUCCUAAUAAAUUUGUAGAAACUUUAAAAUUUUGUAUUUUCAUAUUAAUUUUUCAAAUGAUAUAUAAUUUUGUUAUAGAUUAAAUGUAGAAAACAAGCUAUUGUGAGUAUUAUUAAUUCAAUCCUCACAUUCAACCUACACUACAAAUUCAUGCAUGCCUCUUUAAAUUCAAUACAACUAUACUUUCUUGAAUUUAAAUGUAUAACAAUAUAUAUAAAUUAAAAGACAUCUUUUCCUCUGCACAAGUUAGCUCCAAAACAGAGGAAAUGGAAUAACAAGAUUUCAUCAUGAACUUUUAACAAAAACACAAAGCUCAAAAAUAAAUAAAUAACAGUCUACACUUUUUCUACAAUUUCUGCAAUAUAAUGUAUGUCAUGUCUUCUUCUUCUUCGAGUUUCAAUCUAAAAUUCAGCCAAAACCAAGUAUAAUCUUCAUCAAAAACUCUCAAAAUUGAGAUAUAAACUCUAAACCAUAUUCUCAAUUAUUUACAAUAACACUCAAUCCAAACAAUAAUGAUUUUUGAAAACCCAAAUUAGAAUUCAAAGCUUCAAAGCUUUUAAUGACUGUCAAUGGUGAAAUUGCGGUUCUCUUUUCCUUUCCUCUUAUAAUACCGAUAUUUGGGAUUGCGAGAUAGAGAGAGAAGUAGAGAGAAUUCUCAAUUCUUUGCAACAACAUCCAAUCCAAACAAACAAUGUCUUUUGAAAACCCAAAUUCGAAUUCAAAGCCUUGACUAUGGAAGGAAUAAUGAGAUUUUGAUCCAGAAAAUUUUUGAAAAUCCAAAUUCGAAUUCAAGGCCUCGGCUAUGAAGAAAUAAUGGGAUUUUGAUACAGAAAUCGUGUGUGUGGGAGAAAAACGUGGGUGAAGGUGUGGGAAUUAAAGAGAGAAGCGUGGGGGAAGUGGUAUUAGAAGGAAUAUACAUUACUAUUAAAUUAGGAGUGUAAUUAAUAUCCUUAAAAUCACUAAUGGUAUAUAAUUGGUAAUUAGGUAUACUAAAUAUAAUUAUAUCAAACCUCAGACAUUAAGGGUAAUAUGAUUUUCUAUGUGACAUAGAAAUAUAAAAAUUCCUUUUCUAAUCAAGAACAGGUCGCUAACCUAGUGGUUCGCCGGGAAUAAUGUUUUCGACAAGUAUUAUAGGUACAGUGCAUUGUAAAUUUUCAAAUUGAGGUAUUAAACAAAUAUAACUCAAUUUAGUAUAUGACAUGCAAAUUGAAAUGAAGCAAAUCAGGAAAUUCGUACUCUACUUGUUUUCUUAGAAAAAGUGCAGCAAAACUAAGCAAUAAAAAGGAAACGGGGCUAAAGAAAAGGCUGUAGUAACUGAAGGUAUAAAGAAUCCCUUGGAUUAGGAUCAAAUAUUCAGAUACACACUUUUAUCUUUGUGGAAAUUCGAUUUUAGGGGNNNNNNNNNNNNNNNNNNNNNNNNNNNNNNNNNNNNNNNNNNNNNNNNNNNNNNNNNNNNNNNNNNNNNNNNNNNNNNNNNNNNNNNNNNNNNNNNNNNNNNNNNNNNNNNNNNNNNNNNNNNNNNNNNNNNNNNNNNNNNNNNGGGGGGGGGGGGGGGGGGGGGGGGGAGGUAUGAAGAUAUCUAUGAUACAUAUGCAAUUGGACGGACAAAUAAUUCUAUUUUAGUAAAAAAUAGAAGAGAUGAUAGAAAUUUGAAUGAUCUGAGCAUUUAUAAAUCCAAAGAGAAGUUGAAAGGUUAGAACACAAAGAGAUACAUAAAGAGUUAUGGUGUAGUUAAAGUUUAACUACAUCAUAAGAUCACUCCAAAGAAAGGAUUCACACGGGUAUUUCUCAACACUCAACACUCUUAUAAAAUACUCUUAGUAAAUAAAGGAGGAGAAAGAAAGACAAGAUUGAAAAGCUCUCGAAUU
rnacentral:lncRNA from 1 species